rnacentral:rRNA from 1 species
GACGCAUUUAUUAGACCAAAGCCAACCCGCUCUGCGGCAAAGCAAUGGUGACUCUGGAUAACCUUAGCGGAUCGCAUGGCCUUGCGCCGGCGACGAAUCUUUCAAAUGUCUGCCCUAUCAACUGUCGAUGGUACGUGCUAUGCCUACCAUGGUUGUAACGGGUAACGGGGAAUCAGGGUUCGAUUCCGGAGAGGGAGCAUGAGAAACGGCUACCACACCCAAGGAAGGCAGCAGGCGCGCAAAUUACCCACUCCCGGCACGGGGAGGUAGUGACGAAAAAUAACCAUACAGAACUCAUGUGAGGCUCUGUAAUGGGAAUGACGGCACUUAAAAUCCUUCACGAAGGAUCAAUUGGAGGGCAAGUCUGGUGCCAGCAGCCGCGGUAAUUCCAGCUCCAAUAGCGUAUAUUAAAGUUGCUGCAGUUAAAAAGCUCGUAGUUGGAUCUCGGGCGUGAGCUAGGGGUCUUGCAAUCGCUUGUUACUCCUAGUCUCAGCCUAACUGCCGAUUUUCUAUGGAUGCGCUUCACUGUGUGUCCAUAGUAGUCGGAACGUUUACUUUGAAAAAAUUAGAGUGCUC